rnacentral:rRNA from 1 species
GAUCCUGGCUCAGGACGAACGCUGGCGGCGUGCUUAACACAUGCAAGUCGAACGGUGAAGCGCUUGCCUUUUUGGUGGGUGUGGAUGAGUGGCGAACGGGUGAGUAACACGUGAGUAACCUGCCCCCUUCUUCUGGAUAACCGCAUGAAAGUGUGGCUAAUACGGGAUAUUCUGGGUCUGUCGCAUGACGGGCCCGGGAAAGAUGCGCCUUUGGGUGUUUUUGGUGGGGGAUGGGCUCGCGGCCUAUCAGCUUGUUGGUGGGGUGAUGGCCUACCAAGGCGGUGACGGGUAGCCGGCCUGAGAGGGUGGACGGUCACACUGGGACUGAGACACGGCCCAGACUCCUACGGGAGGCAGCAGUGGGGAAUAUUGCACAAUGGGCGCAAGCCUGAUGCAGCGACGCCGCGUGAGGGAUGGAGGCCUUCGGGUUGUGAACCUCUUUCGCCAGUGAAGCAGGCCUGCCUCGUUUGUGGGUGGGUUGACGGUAGCUGGAUAAGAAGCGCCGGCUAACUACGUGCCAGCAGCCGCGGUAAUACGUAGGGCGCGAGCGUUGUCCGGAAUUAUUGGGCGUAAAGAGCUCGUAGGCGGCUGGUCGCGUCUGUCGUGAAAUCCUCUGGCUUAACUGGGGGCUUGCGGUGGGUACGGGCCGGCUUGAGUGCGGUAGGGGAGGCUGGAACUCCUGGUGUAGCGGUGGAAUGCGCAGAUAUCAGGAAGAACACCGGUGGCGAAGGCGGGUCUCUGGGCCGUUACUGACGCUGAGGAGCGAAAGCGUGGGGAGCGAACAGGAUUAGAUACCCUGGUAGUCCACGCCGUAAACGUUGGGCACUAGGUGUGGGGGGCCUUUUCCGGGUCUUCCGCGCCGUAGCUAACGCAUUAAGUGCCCCGCCUGGGGAGUACGGCCGCAAGGCUAAAACUCAAAGGAAUUGACGGGGGC